GAUGAACGCUGGCGGCGUGCUUAACACAUGCAAGUCGAACGGGAAUUAUUUUAUUGAAACUUCGGUCGAUUUAAUUUAAUUCUAGUGGCGGACGGGUGAGUAACGCGUGGGUAACCUGCCUUAUACAGGGGGAUAACAGUCAGAAAUGGCUGCUAAUACCGCAUAAGCGCACAGAGCUGCAUGGCUCAGUGUGAAAAACUCCGGUGGUAUAAGAUGGACCCGCGUUGGAUUAGCUGGUUGGUGGGGUAACGGCCCACCAAGGCGACGAUCCAUAGCCGGCCUGAGAGGGUGAACGGCCACAUUGGGACUGAGACACGGCCCAGACUCCUACGGGAGGCAGCAGUGGGGAAUAUUGCACAAUGGGAAACCCUGAUGCAGCGACGCCGCGUGAAGGAAGAAGUAUCUCGGUAUGUAAACUUCUAUCAGCAGGGAAGAUAGUGACGGUACCUGACUAAGAAGCCCCGGCUAACUACGUG
rnacentral:rRNA from 1 species